GGCUCCGUGGCCUAAUGGUAAGGCGUUGCUUUCCGGUGAUAGGAUUGUGGCAAAGAUUGUGGGUUCGAGUCCCAUCGGGGUCG